AGCGAACGCUGGCGGCAGGCCUAACACAUGCAGGUCGAACGAAGUCUUCGGACUUAGUGGCGGACGGGUGAGUAACACGUGGGAACGUACCUUUUGGUUCGGAACAACUCAGGGAAACUUGAGCUAAUACCGGAUGAGCCCUUAGGGGGAAAGAUUUAUCGCCGAAAGAGCGGCCCGCGUUAGAUUAGCUAGUUGGUGAGGUAAAGGCUCACCAAGGGUACGAUCUAUAGCUGGUCUGAGAGGAUGAUCAGCCACACUGGGACUGAGACACGGCCCAGACUCCGACGGGAGGCAGCAGUGGGGAAUCUUGCGCAAUGGGCGAAAGCCUGACGCAGCCAUGCCGCGUGAAUGAUGAAGGUCUUAGGAUUGUAAAAUUCUUUUACCAGGGACGAUAAUGACGGUACCUGGAGAAAAAGCCCCGGCUAACUUCGUGCCAGCCGCCGCAGUAACAC
rnacentral:rRNA from 1 species